rnacentral:rRNA from 1 species
GACGGAGGGUGCGAGCGUUAAUCGGAAUUACUGGGCGGAAAGCGCAAGGAGGCGGCCGAACAAGUCAGGUGUGAAAUCCUCGGGCUUAACCUGGGAAGUGCACUUGAUACUGUCCGGCUAGAGUUUGGCAGAGGAAAGUAGAAUUCCCGGUGUAGCGGUGAAAUGCGUAGAUAUCGGGAGGAAUACCAGUGGCGAAGGCGUCUUUCUGGGCCAAUACUGACGCUUAGGUGCGAAAGCGUGGGGCGCAAACAGG